UUUAACAGUAUACGUUGUACAUGUGUGCAUUAAUUACUCAUAAUGAGAGUGAAAUUUAAAGUCUUGCGACCACAAAAUCAUGUGUAAUUAGAGGUGGUCAGAAAAAUGUCUUGGGGGGCCUCACGUAGAGAGCUGAAGACCACCCAGCCCAACAACAACCCUCCUCAAACUCCACAGAGAGCAUCAGGCCCUUACCUCUACAUCUCCUAAUUACAAUCAUUUGCCUCAUACCGAACGAACACCGAACAUCUGCUCCUAAUGCUGCUCACUGUGAUUAUUAAGGAGAUUUUACUCCCAGGUCGACACACAGAGGAAGCGCAACAGACAGGAAUAACAAGGAGAGGUACAAGUCCGUGCGAUUUGUUUUUAUUAGCAAGGAUACACUGCAACAUGUUGAAGCAAUGAGCCUGAUAUGUUUUGCUAGUUCAUUAGUUAGUUUUUCCUGGCUCCGGAUCCUGGCGUGCAGUUUAACCAGGUGCCGAUGAAGAGAUCAUUGACUUAAUGUGGUUGACGAACCUCACCGUCUAAUGUCAGUUUACGCUCACGUGGCUGUAACAAUAACGGCAACGUACUGCUAGCGUUUGGUGAAAGGAAAGCUCUAAGUAAACUAACGGCUUUUGUUAAUGAGCUUUAAAUGGUUAGUUUAGUUACUCAAGUGUGAUGUAUGUAAAACACGGACACCUUGCAAUUGUGUGGCUGUGUUACAAUGUAACAUAAAUACUCUCAGCUGAAAUACAGUACUACCAAUCAUAUUUUUAAUAGUAGAAUGGAAGCCCCGCCCCAUAGCUAAAGAAGCCUCUUUGAAAAAGGUGACUGGUGUUGUGCUAGCUUGACUAGCCUGAAAAAUACAGUUUUUAUUUGCAAGUUUUGUGCUAAAGAAGUGCAAUUAAUGACUGGAUGUCUCAUUUGCGAUGUAAAAUUGACAAAGAUUUCAGUUUUAUCUUGUAGAGCUGUACUUGGAUGACUGGAGAUAGCUGCUCUGGGGAGUUUCCAAAAUGGCCGCUGAGUGAACUGACUGGUUUGACUUAAUUUAGUCAAAUGUUGAAGAUUUUGGCUUAUUAGGCAUGAAGGAGUUGGGCCAUGGGAAUGUAACAUAUAAUCAUCCUCAUCAAGUCUCUCCGAGGAGCAACAAGUGUUAUCGAAAGCAGGAACAUGCUCCCAAAGCUGCAGGGUUCCCCACGGAGACAACCUUUACGCUGCUGAAGUCAGAGGUCAUCCGUCCCAGAGGGAAACAGUGGCGACACCCCAGUGCCUGAGGAGACAGAGGCGUUCAGUAGACUAAUGGGGUCUGACUUCAUCAUUAAGAAGACGAGUCCAUCCAAGCCUAAAGGGGAACAACUGUUUCUAAGAUGACUGACAGCAACUCCGGUGAUGUGUAGGAGUAAUCUGAAAUGAAUGAGGCCCUUGUAUAGAAAAGGGAUGAUUGGGAGUGCGGGGGACUUUGCCAAGACUACACAAACACGGAUUCAUAUCCUUCAUGCCUCUCUACGACUUUCUGCUCGUGGAAAAGAACAAAAUGAGGAUCAAACUUGUAAAAACAAAAAAUAAGUAGGCAUGAAGGAAUGGAGGUUUUGCCUCAUUGUAAGACGAAGAAAACUGCAAUGAUAAUCUUUAUGCGGUAUUUUUUUAAACAAACAAACAAACAAAAAUAUUUCCAUGUGUAUCCUUUUCGCAUUCAUAAACUGUGGUCCCUUCAAACUGCCUUGCGGUCUCAUUAGCAAAUUUUUAGUGAUAUUCUGUGGCCAUUAUUUGUGUAGCAAACAAUCGAGUGAUCCAAGCAGCUUUCUGUUAGUCAAUGCAACAAAUAUUGCAAAAUAUGCGUGGGGAAAUCUUUCUUAUUCUCACAAAAAUGUACCAAUACUUAUCAGAGUGACUAGAUUUCAAUAUGAAAAUCACUGAACAAUGCACCUAAAUGAUUUCAGAACGUCCUUAAAAUGAAAUAGUGGAGCCCUCCUCCAUGUCAAGAAACGGCUCCCGUCCCUCCAUCGGUGUCUAGGGAUUUCCCCCCAUGUUUUCCAUUGUUUGUCUACUUUUUCAUUUAAGUCUGAUUGCUUAACCUUAAGUAUGAGCAGAAGCGAGGCUUGCAUUAACAAGCACCGUUAAGUAUACUUUUCUAUACGUUCUUUCUCAGCUGAACAAAGACCGUAGGGUCUAUGUCUCUCUUUGUUUAGCUGUAUAAAUCUUUCAGAGAAAUAAAAGUCUCAUCUCUGCGAGGCACCGCCUCUGAUUUACGUGCAACAACAUCGG